GACGAACGCUGGCGGCGUGCUUAACACAUGCCAGUCGAACGGUGAACGAGGGAGCUUGCUCCCUCCGGAUUAGUGGCGAACGGGUGAGUAACACGUGAGCAAUCUGCCCCGAACUCUGGGAUAAGCGUUGGAAACGACGUCUAAUACCGGAUACGACGCGGGAGGGCAUGCUCUCCGCGUGGAAAGAACUUCGGCUCGGGAUGAGUUCGCGGCCUAUCAGCUUGUUGGUGAGGUGACGGCUCACCAAGGCGACGACGGGUAGCCGGCCUGAGAGGGUGACCGGCCACACUGGGACUGAGAGACGGCACAGACAGCUACGGGAGGCAGCAGUGGGGAAUAUUGAACAAUGGGCGCAAGCCUGAUGAAGCAACGCCGCGUGAGGGACGACGGCCUUCGGGUUGUAAACCUCUUUUAGCAGGGAAGAAGCGAAAGUGACGGUACCUGCAGAAAAAGCACCGGCUAACUACGUG
rnacentral:rRNA from 1 species